rnacentral:rRNA from 1 species
UACGUAGGUGGCAAGCGUUGUCCGGAAUUAUUGGGCGUAAAGCGCGCGCAGGCGGUCCUUUAAGUCUGAUGUGAAAGCCCACGGCUCAACCGUGGAGGUCAUUGGAAACUGGGGACUUGAGUACAGAAGAGAAGAGUGGAAUUCCACGUGUAGCGGUGAAAUGCGUAGAGAUGUGGAGGAACACCAGUGGCGAAGGCGACUCUUUGGUCUGUAACUGACGCUGAGGCGCGAAAGCGUGGGGAGCAAACAGG